GUUUGAGUUAGCGCCGGAACGGGAGGUGUGCUGUGAGGAAGGGGUGGAAGGAGAGAUGGAGGAGGAAUUGAGGGAUAGAGAGAGGGAGAGGGAAGGCGCUCUGCCGUUCUCAGCUGCAGACUUCUACGGAAUGUUUCCACGGGGAGAGCCCCGCAGCAGCCCCGGGCAGGCGGGCAUUCCCUGCCGGCACAGCCUUCGGAGACCUGGCGGACAAAGAGAGCUCUGUGAGGAUCCAAACGUCAGCCCCGAGCGAACCGAGGGAAUUCCGCACGAGUGCCCGACUGCACGAAAAAAAAAAAAAAAAAAAAAAAAAAAAAAAAAAAAAGUAAGAGCGGACAGCGGUCCCUCGGUCAGAAACACACUCAUGUUUCCGCUUCUUGGAGAGGGCAUUUAAGUUUAGUUAGGAUACUUGAAGGGAGAUGCAGAGAUGCAGUGCGUGAGUACGCGGUGUGCAGCCCUAGGAACGGCUGUGUUGAGGUCCACAGAGAUGCUCUGGAACAGCUCAUAGAAAAAGUGUAAAUAAUGUCAGCAGAAAAGGAGAGAAACUUUGGUCCUAACAGAGAACAUCACUCGUUUCUAAGCCACCGGCUACAUCUCACCCUGCCGCCUCGCCGUCUGAAGUUCCCCGGGAAGUUCUCCCAAACAUCAUGACGCACCGCAGUCUCCAAAAGGCGAAGGGAAAGAGGAGGACAGAAUGCUCUAAUCUACGCCCCGCCAGUACGGUAUCUGUAGUUCACCGAAUCCCCGCAUACGCGGCGUCUCCUCCCGGCGGAGUGAGACAGCAUCACUGCAAAGCCGUGAGAGCGCCUUGCACUUACAGGUCAGACGGCAGCGGCUGCGACCCGAGAUGAGGGCCGCGCCAUCCCUCCGGCCGCCAGCCUACCUUCCCUCUCUCCGCGCCCAGAACCUGCGAUGCACUACAGAGCGGCGCCCGGAUGAAUGCUGCCCCCUCAUCGGCUCAACGCUCCUCUGUCAUGCAACGCUUUGGGUAAGGAGGGAGGAAUUUUCUUUUUAUCUUUUAAAAUUGCUUGGAAGUGUCUAUUUUCCGCUCGUUUCCUGAUGAAAAGAAGCAGCAAAUAAAGUCCAAAUACCACUAUUACUACUACUACAAUUACUAAUAUAUCUAUAUAUCUAUAUAUCUAUAUGUAUCUAUAUGUAUCUAUAUAUAGAUAUAUAUAAAUUGAAAGAAAAAAUAUAGAAAAGGCUAGACGGACUCGGCAGCGCUGCGGCGAGGUCGGCUUUCUUUUGGGGCCAAGCGUUGGGCUGGGCAGCACUGCUCCUGCUGCUAGAGCUUAUUUCACGGAGCAGAGUGCGGGCAGGAGCCUGCGCGCCCGCGGAAGAGCGGGGAGCAUCCCCGCGGCUGCGCCCUCGCCCCGAGUCCUCCCAUCCCCUCUUCACGUUCAAGGCUUAGCGGAGAGGUCGCGUCUACUGACGUCAGCUGAAGGCAUUCUGCACAUCCGUCUACACUUACAUGCAUUAACGAAAGUAGGGCAAGAAAAAAAAUAAAAAGAAGAAAAGGAUAUACAAAUUCCCCUGUUCGGAGAAGAGACCGCGGAUCCUGGGAGCGAUCGUCCCUAUUUGCAAAGAUCCUAAUUAGCGGGAAUUAGUGGGGCCUCCCCUUUUCUUCCAAAUAUCAUCAUCAUUAUCAACAAAACAAACAUCCCCGAAACGAGCGAUCGUGGCCGGGCGGCGGCGCGUAGAAGAGCCCAUAUGGGAGCGGACGGCCACGGUGUGUGAGCCGGAAUCCACUGUUGUGCUGUUCUCUUCUCCUUUUUCUGCUCCCGUUUACUCCAGCGUUUGUUACUUUUAAUACUGAUGCUUAUGUAAGGUAUAUUUGCAUUAUUUUUAAUUUACUGAAAAUUGCAGCCUACCACUUGUCCUUUGCUCCUCCCUUUCUAUUUCUUCAAAUACACUUCUCCUUUCCCCCACUCCCUCCUAUUUCCCCGUGUUUUGGUGAGACUGCAGCGUGCCUUUAUAUCCAGUUUCCUCCAUGCUUCUAUUCUGUAUAAGAUUACUGAUUAUGAACAAUGCUAGUUUUACAAAUCAAAGUGCAUAAGAUGUUUAUUGGACAUUAAAAAGGCUCGAGGGUCUUACUACCCUGGUCAGUUAUCACAACGCUAGCUGGAGACGGGAAGUUGAUUAUCUAAGUAACUUCCUAUUAAGAAAAGCAAGUUUUAGAAAUCACCAACACACCCCUCCUCUUCUGUCCCAUUUUAAGGUAUAAGGCAAUAUAGAUAAGGGGUGUAAUGGGGGCAAUUUAAAUGGAUUUUUAAAAUUUCAUUGCUGUUUUGCAGCCUCUAAGUGCACUUGUAUCUGCCUUUAUUUCAGAAAUAGUUUAUUUCAAAAUUCUUCCUUAAAAUAUGCAGAGCCAGGUACAGAGAGCUUUCUCUGAGGAAGACAUUUUUAAAUUAUUUUCUUAGGUGCCGCAUUAUUAAAUGUGUGACAUACGGUUUCUAAAAUGUGCAUGUUUGAAUCCAGCACCUAAUUUUUCAUAGAAAGAGCGUUUAGAUUUUUUUUUUAAAUACUGCUUGUAGCCUUACACCUGCUUUAUGUGAAAAUCCAUAGGCCUUGAAUUAUAUGACAAUCACAGGUAGCACAUUUCAGUUUACCUUAAUGUGUAAUGAAAAGAAAGAAGAGUAGUUUAAACAGUAAAACCAGAAGAUUGCUCUGUUUUUAUAGUCCAGGAAUGUUGUUUUUAAACGAACAACGUCAUUCAACUUAAAAAAAAUAUAAAGCCCAUUCAUAGAAUUUUUUUCUUUUUUGAAAGCUCAAGUGCAUGCGUAGGUUAUGAAUGACUUACCUGAAUGGACAUAUCGGGCAAAAGUUAUCCCUCCCCAAAGACUGUUACGUAUGUAUUUUUUAUAAUAAAGAUUGGAGUGUCUCUUA